rnacentral:rRNA from 2 species
UGGGGAAUAUUGGACAAUGGGCGCAAGCCUGAUCCAGCCAUGCCGCGUGAGUGAUGAAGGCCCUAGGGUUGUAAAGCUCUUUCACCGGUGAAGAUAAUGACGGUAACCGGAGAAGAAGCCCCGGCUAACUUCGUGCCAGCAGCCGCGGUAAUACGAAGGGGGCUAGCGUUGUUCGGAUUUACUGGGCGUAAAGCGCACGUAGGCGGACUAUUAAGUCAGGGGUGAAAUCCCGGGGCUCAACCCCGGAACUGCCUUUGAUACUGGUAGUCUUGAGUUCGAGAGAGGUGAGUGGAAGUCCGAGUGUAGAGGUGAAAUUCGUAGAUAUUCGGAGGAACACCAGUGGCGAAGGCGGCUCACUGGCUCGAUACUGACGCUGAGGUGCGAAAGCGUGGGGAGCAAACAGG